rnacentral:rRNA from 1 species
AAAGCAGGACGGGGGAUCACUCGGCUCGUCCGUCGAUGAAGAGCGCGGCUAUCCGCUUGAACCGAUGCGAAUUGCAGGACUCAGUGAACAUCGACACCUCGAACGCACAUUCAGUUCAACGUAA